UACAGAGGAUGCAAGCGUUAUCCGGAAUGAUUGGGCGUAAAGCGUCUGUAGGUGGCUUUUUAAGUCCGCCGUCAAAUCCCAGGGCUCAACUCUGGACAGGCGGUGGAAACUACCAAGCUGGAGUACGGUAGGGGCAGAGGGAAUUUCCGGUGGAGCGGUGAAAUGCGUAGAGAUGUGGAGGAACACCGAUGGCGUAGGCAGCCUCCUGGGCCAAUUCUGACGCUCAGGCACGAAAGCGUGGGGAUCAAACAGG
rnacentral:rRNA from 1 species